rnacentral:rRNA from 1 species
CCUACGGGGGGCUGCAGUGAGGAAUAUUGGUCAAUGGGCGUAAGCCUGAACCAGCCAAGUCGCGUGAGGGAUGACGGCCCUAUGGAUUGUAAACCUCUUUUAUAAGGGAAUAAAGUGCGGCACGUGUGCCGUUUUGUAUGUACCUUAUGAAUAAGGAUCGGCUAACUCCGUGCCAGCAGCCGCGGUAAUACGGAGGAUCCGAGCGUUAUCCGGAUUUAUUGGGUUUAAAGGGAGCGUAGGUGGGCUUUUAAGUCAGCUGUGAAAGUUUGUGGCUCAACCAUAAAAUUGCCAUUGAUACUGGCAGUCUUGAGUAUAGUUGAGGUAGGCGGAAUGCGUGGUGUAGCGGUGAAAUGCUUAGAUAUCACGCAGAACCCCGAUUGCGAAGGCAGCUUACCAAGCCAUGACUGACGCUGAUGCACGAAAGCGUGGGUAUCAAACAGGAUUAGAUACCCCUGUAGUC